CUUAUCUCUCUUGUGUAUUCACAACACGUUAUCAACACCAUUGUCAAUUCAUUGUCGGGAAAAUAAAGCAAAUUUUCUUCGACGGAAUAAAGUGGAAAUAGCAUGAAACGCCAUUGCAAUUGAAUCACAUCCAACUAGUUAUGCUCCAUUCCCUGAAGCGAAUGCGACAUCCCAUAAUGGGAAAGACAAAUACCACACCAACAAUAGUGGUAGAGGACAUGGUCACGAAAGUGGUCAUGGACGUGGACGUGGAUACGUGUAUGGUCGUGGCCGAGGUGGUUCAUUCAAGAACGCGUAUUCCCACCAGAAGUGGGACAAUAAAGAUGGUAACAAACAAGAAAAAGAUAGAAAUGAGAAUGUGACCAAUGUAUGUUACCGUUGUGGAGGAAAAGGUCAUUGGUCUCGUACAUGUCGUACACCAAAACACUUGGUUGAGCUCUAUCAACAAUCAUUGAAGCAAAAGGAAAAGAAAUUUGAAACAAAUCUUGUGUACGAAGAUGGCGAAGGUGACUUUGAUUGUGGCAAUACAACACACAUGGAAGUUGUUAAUUUCUUCACUACCUCUGAAGGGAAUAAUUAGUUCCUAGAUUCGAUUAUGGUCAUUUAAAGAAUAAAACUUUGUUUCCUUGGAUUCAUGUUAUUUUAUUUUGAAUUUUACUUGUUUAAACUAUGAUUUCAUAUGACAUUGUUAAAUUUUGAUUAUUAAGUUAUUCUUAUUGUUAUUUCAUUUA